GAGUUUGAUCCUGGCUCAGAACGAACGCUGGCGGCAGGCUUAACACAUGCAAGUCGAGCGUCCCGCAAGGGGAGCGGCAGACGGGUGAGUAACGCGUGGGAACGUACCUUUUGCUACGGAAUAACUCAGGGAAACUUGUGCUAAUACCGUAUGUGCCCUUCGGGGGAAAGAUUUAUCGGCAAAGGAUCGGCCCGCGUUGGAUUAGCUAGUUGGUGAGGUAAAGGCUCACCAAGGCGACGAUCCAUAGCUGGUCUGAGAGGAUGAUCAGCCACACUGGGACUGAGACACGGCCCAGACUCCUACGGGAGGCAGCAGUGGGGAAUAUUGGACAAUGGGCGCAAGCCUGAUCCAGCCAUGCCGCGUGAGUGAUGAAGGCCCUAGGGUUGUAAAGCUCUUUCACCGGUGAAGAUAAUGACGGUAACCGGAGAAGAAGCCCCGGCUAACUUCGUGCCAGCAGCCGCGGUAAUACGAAGGGGGCUAGCGUUGUUCGGAUUUACUGGGCGUAAAGCGCACGU
rnacentral:rRNA from 1 species